rnacentral:tRNA from 1 species
GGGGCCUUAGCUCAGUUGGUAGAGCACUGCCUUUGCAAGGCAGGUGUCAGGGGUUCGACUCCCCUAGGCUCCACAA